UACAGAGGGGCAAGCGUUGUUCGGAAUUACUGGGCGUAAAGGGCGCGUAGGCGGCCUGUUAAGUCGGACGUGAAAUCCCUCGGCUCAACCGGGGAACUGCGUCCGAUACUGGCGGGCUUGAAUUCGGGAGAGGGAUGUGGAAUUCCCAGUGUAGAGGUGAAAUUCGUAGAUAUUGGGAAGAACACCGGUGGCGAAGGCGGCUCUCUGGACCGAUACUGACGCUGAGGCGCGAAAGCGUGGGGAGCAA
rnacentral:rRNA from 1 species